UCAGAAACUCAAAGGAAGUUGACGGGGGCCCGCACAAGCGGUGGAGUAUGUGGUUUAAUUCGAUGCAACGCGAAGAACCUUACCUGGUCUUGACAUCCCGGAGACCCUUAGGAAACUAGGGGGUGCUUCCAUCUGGAAGAAUCUGGAGACAGGUGCUGCAUGGCUGUCGUCAGCUCGUGUCGUGAGAUGUUGGGUUAAGUCCCGCAACGAGCGCAACCCUUGCCUUUAGUUGCCAGCAGUUCGGCUGGGCACUCUAAAGGGACUGCCGGUGUUAAACCGGAGGAAGGUGGGGAUGACGUCAAGUCCUCAUGGCCUUUAUGACCAGGGCUACACACGUACUACAAUGGCCGAUACAAAGGGCAGCGACACUGCGAGGUGAAGCCAAUCCCGUAAAAUCGGUCUCAGUCCGGAUUGGAGUCUGCAACUCGACUCCAUGAAGUUGGAAUCGCUAGUAAUCGUGGAUCAGCAUGCCACGGUGAAUACGUUCCCGGGCCUU
rnacentral:rRNA from 1 species